GAAAUGCGAUAAGUAAUGUGAAUUGCAGAAUUCAGUGAAUCAUCGAAUCUUUGAACGCACAUUGCGCCCAUUAGUAUUCUAGUGGGCAUGCCUGUUCGAGCGUCAUUUCAACCCCUAAGCACAGCUUAUUGUUGGGAAUCUACGCCCUAGUAGUUCCUCAAAGACAUUGGCGGAGUGGCAGUAGUCCUCUGAGCGUAGUAAUUCUUUAUCUCGCUUUUGUUAGGUGCUGCCUCCCCGGCCGUAAAACCCCCAAUUUUUUCUGGUUGACCUCGGAUCAGGUAGGAAUACCCGCUGAACUUAA
rnacentral:misc_RNA from 1 species